CCUACGGGAGGCAGCAGUGGGGAAUAUUGCACAAUGGGGGAAACCCUGAUGCAGCGACGCCGCGUGAGUGAAGAAGUAUUUCUGUAUGUAAAGCUCUAUCAGCAGGGAAGAAAAAAGCCGGUCCCUGACUACGCCGCCCCGGCUCACAACGUGCAAGCAGCCUCGGUAAGACGUAGGGGGCAAGCUUUAUCCGGAUUGACUGGGUGUAAAGGGAGCGUAGACGGGUGUGCAAGUCUGAAGUGAAAGCCCAGGGCACAACCCUGGGACUGCUUUGGAAACUGUGGAGCUAGAGUGCUGGAGAGGUAAGUGGAAUGCCUAGUGUAGCGGUGAAAUGCGUAGAUAUUAGGAGGAACACCAGUGGCGAAGGCGGCUUACUGGACAGUAACUGACGUUGAGGCUCGAAAGCGUGGGGAGCAAACAGGAUUAGAUACCCCGGUAGUC
rnacentral:rRNA from 1 species